rnacentral:misc_RNA from 1 species
AAUUAUAUCCCUGAUUGCAACAACCUGAAAGACAAAUGCCUAUGGUGUAAAAUGAAAACAAACUUCAACAGAGACAUCACGUUGGCUUGUUUCUCCCUAGUCAAUUUCCUUGAAUAAAGAUGGUUGUGUCACGGUGAAAGUGAAGAUCAUAUGCUAAGGAUUUAAAAUUAUAUAAAACUGUCCAUAUAAUCUCUGUUUUACAUGGCAAGAAGUCAUUGCUCUUACAUCAGAUUUUUUUUUCUUCUACGUCUCUGAUCAUUGAUCAAAGGAAUGCUCAUCAACUUUGAACAGAAUCCCAGCACUAACUUCAGUUUAUAGCAACCAUGUUAGGAGAACCCAUUCAUGUAUUUCAAUAGGUAAUGAUUAGAGACAAUUUUCCACAAAACCUUUAACUAACAGCCAGUUGCGGGGGUUUGGAUGGGGGGAAGGGGCUAUUGCCCUCUCCCCA